UGAGGAAUAUUGGUCAAUGGGCGCAAGCCUGAUCCAGCCAUGCCGCGUGGAUGAUGAAGGCCUUAGGGUUGUAAAGUCCUUUUAACGGGGAAGAUAAUGACGGUACCCGUAGAAUAAGCCCCGGCUAACUUCGUGCCAGCAG
rnacentral:rRNA from 1 species